rnacentral:rRNA from 1 species
GAUGGUAGGCUAUGCGCCUACCAUGGUGUAACGGGUGACGGAGAAUCAGGGUUCGAUUCCGAGAGGGAGCUGAGAAACGGCUACCACAUCCAAGGAAGGCAGCAGGCGCGAAAAUUACCCAAUCCCAGUACGGGGAGGUAGUGACGAAAAAUAACAAUACAGGACUCUCUUGAGGCUCUGUAAUUGGAAUGAGUACACUCUAAACCCUUUAACGAGGAUCUAUUGGAGGGCAAGUCUGGUGCCAGCAGCCGCGGUAAUUCCAGCUCCAAUAGCGUAUAUUAAAGUUGCUGCGGUUAAAAAGCUCGUAGUUGAAACCUGGAGGUGUCGCGAAUAGUCACCUCUGUGUGGCGCCUCGCGUUCACUUCAUCCGGGCGGGAUGUCCGUCGUCCUCUUUACUGAGGGCUUCGGGUGUCCCGCAUAUAUCACUCUGAUAAAAUUAGGGUGCUCAAAGCAGGCCUUGUGCCCGCAUAUCAAUGCAUGGAAUGAUGGAAGAGGUUGUUGUUCCGUUUGUGGCUUUUGGAAUUGACAAGAUGAUCGAGAGAAUCGGCCGGGGGCAUUUGUAUUGCGGCGACAGAGGUGAAAUUCUUGGACCGUCGCAAGACAAACUACAGCGAAAGCAUUUGCCAAGAAUGUUUUCAUUGAUCAAGAACGAAAGUUAGAGGUUCGAAGGCGAUCAGAUACCGCCCUAGUUCUAACCAUAAACGAUGCCAACUAGCAAUCCGCCUGAGUCGUCUUUUUGACUCGGCGGGCAGCUCCGGGAAACCUAAGUAAGGUUCCGGGGGAAGUAUGGUUGCAAAGCUGAAACUUAAAGGAAUUGACGGAAGGGCACCACCAGUCGUGGAGCCUGCGGCUUAAUUUGACUCAACACGGGAAAACCUACCCGGCCCGGACACUGAAAGGAUUGACAGAUUGAGAGCUCUUUCUUGAUUCGGUGGAUGGUGGUGCAUGGCCGUUCUUAGUUGGUGGGGCGACCUGUCUGCUUAAUUGCGAUAACGAACGAGACGCUAGCCUAUUAAAUAGACACGACGUCCGCUGUACGUCGUGUUUAACUUCUUAGAGGGACAAGUUGCUUUCAGCAACACGAAACAGCGCAAUAACAGGUCUGAGAUGCCCUUAGAUGUCCGGGGCCGCACGCGCGCUACAAUGAACAGAAAAGCGUGUCGUUUCCCUUGUUCGAGAGAACUGGGUAACCCCAUGAAACCUCUUCAUGAUUGGGAUUGGGGCUUGCAAUUAUUCCCCUUGAACGAGGAAUGUCCAGUAAACGCUAGUCAUCAGCUUGCGUUGAUUACGUCCCUGCCCUUUGUACACACCGCCCGUCGCUACUACCGAUUGAAUGAUUUAGUGAGGUCUUCCGAUUGACCCCUCGUGUGGCCUUGUGUCGCACGUAGGGUUGAAAAGAUGCCCUAACUUGAUCAUUUAGAGGAAGUAAAAGUCGUAACAAGGUUUCCGUAGGUGAACCUGCGGAGGGAUCAUUAA